rnacentral:rRNA from 1 species
UACGUAGGUGGCAAGCGUUGUCCGGAAUUAUUGGGCGUAAAGCGCGCGCAGGCGGUCCUUUAAGUCUGAUGUGAAAGCCCACGGCUCAACCGUGGAGGGUCAUUGGAAACUGGGGGACUUGAGUGCAGGAGAGAAGAGUGGAAUUCCACGUGUAGCGGUGAAAUGCGUAGAGAUGUGGAGGAACACCAGUGGCGAAGGCGACUCUUUGGCCUGUAACUGACGCUGAGGCGCGAAGCGUGGGAGCAAACAGG